GACGAACGCUGGCGGCGUGCCUAACACAUGCAAGUCGAACGGAAAGGCCUCUUUCGGGGGGUACUCGAGUGGCGAACGGGUGAGUAACACGUGAGUAACCUGCCCUUGACUUUGGGAUAACUUCAGGAAACUGGGGCUAAUACCGGAUAGGAGCUCUUUCUGCAUGGUGGGGGCUGGAAAGUUUCGGCGGUUGGGGAUGGACUCGCGGCUUAUCAGCUUGUUGUUGGGGUAGUGGCUUACCAAGGCCUUGACGGGUAGCCGGCCUGAGAAGGUGACCGGCGGUAUUGGGACUGAGAGGCGGCCCAGACAGCUACGGGAGGCAGCAGGGGGGAAGAUUGCACAAGGGGUGGAAGCCUGAUGCAGCAACGCCGUGGGCGGGAUGACGGUCUUCGGGUGGUAAACCGCUUGCGCUCAUGACGAAGCUUUGUGUGACGGUAGUGGAUAAAGAAGCACCGGCUAACUACGUG
rnacentral:rRNA from 1 species